GACGGGUGAGUAAUGUCUGGGAAACUGCCUGAUGGAGGGGGAUAACUACUGGAAACGGUAGCUAAUACCGCAUAACGUCGCAAGACCAAAGUGGGGGACCUUCGGGCCUCAUGCCAUCAGAUGUGCCCAGAUGGGAUUAGCUAGUAGGUGAGGUAAUGGCUCACCUAGGCGACGAUCCCUAGCUGGUCUGAGAGGAUGACCAGCCACACUGGAACUGAGACACGGUCCAGACUCCUACGGGAGGCAGCAGUGGGGAAUAUUGCACAAUGGGCGCAAGCCUGAUGCAGCCAUGCCGCGUGUAUGAAGAAGGCCUUCGGGUUGUAAAGUACUUUCAGCGAGGAGGAAGGCAUUAAGGUUAAUAACCUUGGCGAUUGACGUUACUCGCAGAAGAAGCACCGGCUAACUCCGUGCCAGCAGCCGCGGUAAUACGGAGGGUGCAAGCGUUAAUCGGAAUUACUGGGCGUAAAGCGCACGCAGGCGGUCUGUCAAGUCGGAUGUGAAAUCCCCCGGGCUCGACCAUGAGAACUGCAUCACGAAAACAUGGCAGGAUAGAGUCUUGUAGGAGGGGGGGUAGAAUUCCAGGUGUAGCGGUGAAAUGCGUAGAGAUUCUGAAGGAAUACCGGUGGCGAAGGCGGCCCCCCUGGACAAAGACUGACGCUCAGGUGAGAAAGCGUGGGGGAGCAAACAGGAUUAGAUACCCUGGUAGUCCACGCUGUAAAACGAUGUCGACUUGGAGGUUGUUCCCUUGAGGAGUGGCUUCCGGAGCUAACGCGUUAAGUCGACCGCCUGGGGAGUACGGCCGCAAGGUUAAAACUCAAAUGAAUUGACGGGGGCCCCCACAAGCGGUGGAGCAUGUGGUUUAAUUCGAUGCAACGCGAAGAACCUUACCUACUCUUGACAUCCAGAGAACUUAGCAGAGAUGCUUUGGUGCCUUCGGGAACUCUGAGACAGGUGCUGCAUGGCUGUCGUCAGCUCGUGUUGUGAAAUGUUGGGUUAAGUCCCGCAACGAGCGCAACCCUUAUCCUUUGUUGCCAGCGGUUCGGCCGGGAACUCAAAGGAGACUGCCAGUGAUAAACUGGAGGAAGGUGGGGAUGACGUCAAGUCAUCAUGGCCCUUACGAGUAGGGCUACACACGUGCUACAAUGGCAUAUACAAAGAGAAGCGACCUCGCGAGAGCAAGCGGACCUCAUAAAGUAUGUCGUAGUCCGGAUCGGAGUCUGCAACUCGACUCCGUGAAGUCGGAAUCGCUAGUAAUCGUGGAUCAGAAUGCCACGGUGAAUACGUUCCCGGGCCUUGUACACACCGCCCGUC
rnacentral:rRNA from 1 species